AAAUGCGAUAAGUAAUGUGAAUUGCAGAAUUCAGUGAAUCAUCGAAUCUUUGAACGCACCUUGCGCUCCUUGGUAUUCCUUGGAGCAUGCCUGUUUGAGUAUCAUGAAAUCUUCAAAGUAAAUCUUUUGUUAACUCAAUUGGUUUCUACUUUGGUAUUUGGAGGUCUUUGCAGCUUCACACCUGCUCCUCUUUGUUCAUUAGCUGGAUCUCAGUGUUAUGCUUGGUUCCACUCGGCGUGAUAAGUUAUCUAUCGCUGAGGACACUGUAAAAGGUGGCCAAGGUAAAUGCAGAUGAACCGCUUCUAAUAGUCCAUUGACUUGGACAAUACUUUUAUGAUCUGAUCUCAAAUCAGGUAGGACUACCCGCUGAACUUAAGC
rnacentral:misc_RNA from 1 species